rnacentral:rRNA from 1 species
GACGUAGGGCGCGAGCGUUGUCCGGAUUUAUUGGGCGUAAAGAGCUCGUAGGCGGCUCGUUGCGUCGGCUGUGAAAACCCGCGGCUCAACCGUGGGCUUGCAGCUGAUACGGGCGGGCUGGAGUUCGGUAGGGGAGACUGGAAUUCCUGGUGUAGCGGUGAAAUGUGUUGAUAUUGGAAGGAACGCCAGUGGCGAAAGCGACACACUGGGGUCUCAACUGACGCUGAGGCACGAAAGCCAGGGGAGCAAACGGG